rnacentral:rRNA from 1 species
AAUCCACGAUUAAUUUUACUUAUUUUAAUUAAUUCAUAUAUCGCUGUCAUGAAUAUAUUUAAAAAUUUAUUUUCUUUAAUUAUUUUAAUAAUUUAUGUUAAGUCAAGAUGUGGUUUAUAAAUAAGAAUAUAAUGGGUUACAUUAAAUUUUAUUUUUGGAUUUAAAAUGAAAAUUAAAAUGAAAUUGGAUUUAAUAGUAAGUUUAAUUAAUUUAUUAGUAUGAAUAAAGAUCUAAAUU